AGUGGCUUACGUGCUCGGCUGCUAACUGAAAGGUUGGUAGUUCAAAUCCACCAGCCGCUA
rnacentral:tRNA from 1 species